rnacentral:rRNA from 1 species
UAGAACGCAAUCGGAAUCAGGCCGAAAGGUCUGCGCCAGCGAUGGCCGCUUGCGAGGUGCUGCAUGGUUGUCGUCAGCUCGUGCCGUGAGGUGUCGGGUUAAGUCCCAUAACGAGCGCAACCCCUACCUGCUAGUUGCCAGCGGGUCAUGCCGGGGACGUCUAGCGGAACUGCCAGCGUAAGCUGCGAGGAAGGUGGGGAUGACGUCAAAUCAGCACGGCCCUUACGUCCAGGGCUACACACGUGUUACAAUGGCCAGUACAGAGGGCAGCCACCCCGCGAGGGGGCGCUAAUCCUAAAAGCUGGUCCCAGUUCGGAUCGGAGUCUGCAACCCGACUCCGUGAAGCUGGAUUCGCUAGUAAUCGCGCAUCAGCCACGGCGCGGUGAAUACGUUCCCGGGCCUU